rnacentral:misc_RNA from 1 species
ACAAACUUGGUCAUUUAGAGGAAGUAAAAGUCGUAACAAGGUUUCCGUAGGUGAACCUGCGGAAGGAUCAUUAACAAAGUGUAAAAAACCCUCAUUCUGUGAGGGGGAUUCACAAAAUCCUCACUUUGUGUGCAUUGUUUAUAUAUUGUAUUUGGCGGUUUUCAUAUUUGAUUAUUUUUUUUUGUUAAUAAAAAAUAUUUGUUAACAAAAAAAUGUUUCAAAGUUGGGACCGCCAAUUGUAUUUCUAUAUACAAACUUUGUGUUUUUUAAAUAUUUUUUUUGUCUGAUUUUUGUAAAAAAUUUUGUGUUAAAACAAACUUUUUUAAAAAAAAACAAAAAACAACUUUUGACAACGGAUCUCUUGGCUCUCGCAUCGAUGAAGAACGCAGC